AACGAACGCUGGCGGCAGGCCUAACACAUGCAAGUCGAGCGCCCCGCAAGGGGAGCGGCGGACGGGUGAGUAACGCGUGGGAACGUACCCUUUGCUACGGAAUAGCCUCGGGAAACUGGGAGUAAUACCGUAUGUGCCCUUCGGGGAAGGAUUUAUCGGCAAAGGAUCGGCCCGCGUUGGAUUAGGUAGUUGGUGGGGUAAUGGCCUACCAAGCCGACGAUCCAUAGCUGGUUUGAGAGGAUGAUCAGCCACACUGGGACUGAGACACGGCCCAGACUCCUACGGGAGGCAGCAGUGGGGAAUCUUAGACAAUGGGCGCAAGCCUGAUCUAGCCAUGCCGCGUGAGCGAUGAAGGCCUUAGGGUUGUAAAGCUCUUUCAGUGGGGAAGAUAAUGACUGUACCCACAGAAGAAGCCCCGGCUAACUCCGUG
rnacentral:rRNA from 1 species